UGGGGAAUAUUGGACAAUGGGCGCAAGCCUGAUCCAGCCAUACCGCGUGGGUGAAGAAGGCCUUCGGGUUGUAAAGCCCUUUUGUUGGGAAAGAAAUCCAGCCGGCUAAUACCUGGUUGGGAUGACGGUACCCAAAGAAUAAGCACCGGCUAACUUCGUGCCAGCAGCCGCGGUAAUACGAAGGGUGCAAGCGUUACUCGGAAUUACUGGGCGUAAAGCGUGCGUAGGUGGUCGUUUAAGUCCGUUGUGAAAGCCCUGGGCUCAACCUGGGAACUGCAGUGGAUACUGGGCGACUAGAGUGUGGUAGAGGGUAGCGGAAUUCCUGGUGUAGCAGUGAAAUGCGUAGAGAUCAGGAGGAACAUCCAUGGCGAAGGCAGCUACCUGGACCAACACUGACACUGAGGCACGAAAGCGUGGGGAGCAAACAGG
rnacentral:rRNA from 4 species